UAGCCGCUUAUAGUGCAGAUACUGGCGCUGCUGAUACGUCAGCUUUGGUGCUUAUUAAGAGCUAGCCCAAGCUGAACAGAUGCCCAUGUCCGUAUGUGCACGUGCACAGUGGAACCCAGGAAGCAUAUUUGUGGAGGGUAAUCUCAGGAGCGGAUUAUCAACAGAAGUCAAAGAUGAAGAGACGCUGUUGCAAUCACACUUUGCAGAAAACAGGAAAUAGGAAAAAAUUACAACAACCAACCCUGAACCCCCAAAGAACCAGCAAAUGAUGUAAAACUUCCCAUUGGGAAGAAAAACAACACUGUGAGAGAAAAAAACUGUGGAGCACAGCUGCACCUGGUGGUAUCCCACAGUUGGAGACGGAAAGCGUUUGACACCCGGGCAGGAAGCCCUCACCGUGUCUAGUCCCAGCGAAGUUCAUCUGGCGUAGAAUGAACACGGACAUUUAUGAUUGGGUCAGGACCUGUGUAGCAUGCCUAUGACCGACGGGGCCCACAGGUCCAUCGGCACCUGGGUUGUCUGGUUUAGUGUCCCCUAUGACCUCUCCUCCUAUCAUGGGCUUCUGGGCUCUGGAUUUCAGUCGCCCAGAAUCUCUCACUCCACCACACCGCAGCUUACCACAUGCAGUUUUCACCAUUCCUAGAAGGCCACCCUAAACCAGUCUCUAGGACAACAAUUGGACCAACUGACCUCCAUGGGAGAGGCUAGGACUCAUGACUGCACCUAAAGAGCACCUUAAUUGUGGAGCAACCAUCCAUUCUUGAUAUUUUAGAAUAGAUGUCUGAUAUUAGUAGUUCCGUAUAUCACCCUCAGAUUUGGACACUUGUGGUCAAUGAGUUUAUGAUACAGGACAUGUAUAGUUUUACCUGUUUUAUAACAGUGAUCUCUCAGUAAAUCACUUAGCUGAAGGAGAACAACUUCACUUUUGCAUUUUCACCAUGAUAAUUGCAUUUGUGGCACUUUAUUUAUGAAUAUUAUAAAUAUAAUCUAAGUAUUGCAAAUGGUGUCUUGAUUCAUUUUCCAAGUCUCUGUGAUGCUUACAUGUGGAGUUAUAAAGCCUUGAAUAGAACAUUAUGGGUGAGGAUUGUCCAGCUUUGGCAUCUGCACAAAGGGGUUAAAGCUGUUUAUUAAAGGAGUACACAUAAUCACAUUUAUAUGAAUAUAUCAGGUAAGACACAUAAGGGGUUAGAUUUGUGGGAGGCUAUAUUUUACCAGUGCUCUGGUAUAAAAGGGAACUGAAAAUAUGGAAAUGGGUGAAUAUAGGCAAAAUGGCAAGAACACAGCAAUAAAAUCUAUGAUGUAGUUUGUAUAUUGAAAAAUUCAUAUUAAAAUACUGCAAACUACAUUUUCAGCAGCUAAAUAGUUUCAUAUCAGCUAGAGAAGUGUUCCAUCUUAUAUUCAGGUGUUGCUGUAAAUGGUUGGUAUGCUGUUUUUAAAUCUACUGGCUUUGAUAUCUGAUUGACAGCUGCAUGCAAAAUGUGAACAUAGCUUAAGUUUCAAAACUAUUUCAAGUCAGAUUGUUUUGGUUUUUGCCUAGCAACAGUCCCAAACAUCUUUGGUCUGAAAUCUGACUUGUUUGAGAUGGUCUGGACUACAACACUGGUUUGUGGCAAAUAAAGGUCUUUGGGAUCAAAGGGGGUGAUCCAACACCUGGCUAACUAGACUUGAAAAAAAAAGUUAUUGAUUCCUAUAAUUCUAAGAUGAUAAGCAGAAACCUUCUAAAUAAGAGACAGUGUAACAGUAUCUGCUGUGUUCAGUGUUUUAUGUUCUAGUACAAUAUCAUAAAUGUCAUAUUAUACAUAUAAUUUAUCUUUACAAUGUUAAUAAAGCUAUAAAUUUUGACUGUACUGUAGACAUCAAAGUACUGCCACACUCAGAACCCAUUUACCAAAUGCUGUGCCAGUGUUCCAUGUGAAAUCUUUCUGUAAACAAACAUCUAUCAUUUGAGAAAACAUCAUAAAAUCAUUCAAACAUU